UCUGUUCUCAUAAAUGACACGAAGCAGCAGCCUUUCUUCUUAGUCAUGGAGGGCAGAGAGAAGAGAGCGCUUCACUUCUUGAUCUUCGCUGCUUAUCUCGUGGUCUCACCAUCACCUUCUGCAGGUCUGCUCAGAUUAGCUGGAAAUGGGUCCACUCGGUGCUCUGGAAGGGUUGAAAUCUAUAAGUCUUACUAUAACUAUAACUCUUACCGUUACGGCUCCUGGGGAACAGUCUGUGAUGAUGACUGGGACGUAAAAGAUGCUGAGGUGGUCUGUAGAGAGCUGAACUGUGGGAUAGCACUGGAGGCUCUUGGGUCUGCAUACUUUGGUCAAGGUACAGGGACUAUCAUGCUUGAUGAUGUGGACUGUUCAGGAAGUGAAACUUCUCUAAAUGAUUGUCGUCACAGAGGACUUAGGACACACAACUGUGGCCAUAGUGAAGACGCUGGUGUGGUUUGUUCAGAAACCCCCCCAGAGCCCACCCUCUCCUUGUACAGUAAUGAGGUCACCUGGGGUCAGGACGUCAGCAUCACUUGCUCAGUCUCAGAUAAGUUCUCAGGUGGAACUUUUAUCCUCCAGAAGACUUCAGGCUCAUUCAGUCAGACUAAACCAUCCUCUACGAGCUCUGUUACAUUCAAUCUUCAUAAUGUGAACUUUGAUCAUGAUGGACUGUACCAGUGUCAGUACUUAAAAACAAGUCGAAGGUUCAACUCUUCCUCUGUUAGACUCUCUGUUACUGUGAGACUGCAGACACCCAGCAUCUCCCUGACCUCUCCUAGUGCAGGUCUGGUCUGGGGUCCUGAAGGUGCAGAGAUCACCAGGGGUUACAGUUUUGUCCUCACCUGCUCCAUUAACUCCACAUUUUCCAGUGGACGAUUCUUUCUCAUCUUCUCUGACUCCAACAUCCCAGACAGCAAGCCAGCAGUCAACAACUCAGCCUCCUUUAGUUUCCCUGUAGCUGAGUAUGAACACCAAGGCAACUACAGCUGUGUGUAUGUCACAGUGUCCACACGGACAUUCAGUUCUACUGCAACAGCACCCAUUACUGUCAUCAUUAAAUUUCCUCGGAUGCUGCUGGUCUCGUCUGUAGUUGCUGUGGUCCUGUUGCUCCUGCUGGUCUUUUUGGUGGUCUUCCUGGUGCUCAGGAGAAGGAGACAAACACAGCUGGGCUACAGCCACACCAGAAUGACUCUAACAAUCUGUGAUGAAGAAGAUGACGUCAGUGAAAAAAGAUAUGGAUUCUGAGAGACUGAACACCAAAGAAAUCACACUGAACAAACAGGAAGAGCAGAGAAAGAGAAGAAAAGCAGAUGAAGAUCAAAGCAGUAGUGAUGAAAAUGAUCAUGUAUUUGCAAUUCGGUCAUUUGGUGAACAAACUGUGGACCUUUGUAGAGAACAAGAAGAUGUUUAUCAAAAUCUUUAGGUUAAUAUUGAUUAACAUUGAUCCAUUCAGUUUAACACAGAAUAUCAGCCAGAAGAAACUAAAACUCUCGUAUCUUUCUACAAUGAGACUACCACGUGGUCAAAUAUUUCAUAUAGGUUAAGAUUAGUAGCUACAGUGUCCAUUAACUAAUCAUUUAAACUUUUCUACUUUUCUUGGCUUACCGUAUUAUUGUCAUAAAUUGUCAUUUCUGUUACACUUUUAACCAGUUAUAAAAACAAAAAAAACACAAUUAUGUUCUAACCUAUUAGACAGAUUAUAAAUUCUGUUUCUGUUUUAUAAUAAUACUGCAUUAUAAGCCUCAGUCAUCCAAUAUUGUAUGUUUUGUGAUUGACUUUUGCGUACAAUGACAGUGAAAUGCGAAUAUUAGCAAUUUGUAUGAUACUUUUAACCAGGUGUGUCAAAUUCAUAAAGAGUCACAUGGUGAAGAAGAAUCACAUCACAUCCAAUAAAAUGGAUUUGGAAAUUAUUCUGUCUACAGCCCUUUUGAGCAAGUAACAAGUGACAACAACAAUCUUCAAAUCUCAUAAUAAAGAUUGCUCUCCCAAACUGAGUGACGGCACACCGUUUUUUUUUUCAGGCCAAGUCAUCCUGAGUUGGAAAGACUUCUGUUUAGAAACUAGAAAAACAAACAAACAAAACCACAGUGGCUCUCACUGUGGCUCGCUGGACACCAGACUGUGAGAUCUCAAUUACUUUAUUUCUCAUUUGUUCCUGAAUUUCCUUGGAUCAUGGAAUGAUGUCUGCUCCACUUUGUCAGGCAGGUCCUAUUUAAGUGAUUUCUUGAUUGAGAGCAGAUGUGGCAGUAAUCAGUCCUGGGUGUGGCUAAAGAAACUGAACCCUGCUAGUGAUAAAUACAUUAAGUGUGAUCUAACUCCAAAAUCAUGUGUCAGGAGUGUUUCACUUGUUCAGUCUUCAAGCGCUCCAGAGAGGUCACAAGCAUUCUCGUUUUUUAGAUUACAUAACUGAGUGAGUUUGUAAUUGUAACACAAAAAUUCAAUAUGGACAAAAAGACAAGCCAUUCAUCCAAUCAUGGGCAACUCUGCUGAGAAGAUGAUGUCUAACGAUAUUAUAUAUGUGUUACUCUUAGAUUGAUUUAAUAAGUAUUUUUUAAAACUAUUUUCCUACCUGACCUAUUUCUACUAUUUCCAAACUAAUUUUGAAAAAAGUGUCAAUGCUUUGUGAAAUGUAAUGAAAAUUGAUAGUCUGUCCCAGUAAUAGUGCGUUAAUAAAAAAAAAGUUUGUUCUGUU